GCUGGGUGUAAUAGUGAACACCUGUAAUCCCAGCUACCCAGGAGGCUGAGACAGGAGGACCACAAGUUUAAUUCAAGUCAGCCUCAGCAAUUUGGUGAGACUCUGUCUCAA
rnacentral:sRNA from 1 species